GUAAAUAAUUAGGGAUGAGGCUUGACCACAGCCCCACCCCAAUCACCACAAACUGUGUGCCUACACCCUUCCUAUCUCACAUCAAAAAUUCUGAGAGGAAAAAACCCAACUAAAUUUUAAUUUGCCCUCUCCCAACCGCAAGUACGCAGAGCAGCAGGAGUCCUCAGUUAUUGCAAAGUUAGAGGAUGAGGAAGAAAAAAACAGGAGCAGAGUUCAGACUUUGAAAAGACAGGAACAGCUGUUCCCAUCUGAACAGCCACGGUGCCUUUGUUAUCCAAGAUCAGAGGAAAAAACAUUACUUUUAAAUCUUCAACCACUAGUUCUCUGGAGAGAACAAACUGCUUUCUGAAGAAUAAAUUAAGCAUUCAAUUAAACUCUACAACAGAACCCCUGCCAGUGUGCUGUGAUCAAUGCAACAGGAGAGAGCAUUGCUUAAGCAGUGUCUCAAUCAAAACCUCAGCACUGCAUUCCCAGCUGCAGCUAACAGCAUCUCUAAAAUGUGUAAAACACUGAAAAGCAAAGCCAUGAGGUAGCGGGUGAGGAUGGCUUCCAGCCUAGAAGAGCUCCUGC